rnacentral:rRNA from 2 species
CCCGGUGGCCAUACCGGAGGGGAAACACCCGGUCCCAUUCCGAACCCGGAAGUUAAGCCCUCCAGGGCCGAUGGUACUGCGCUGGAGACGGCGCGGGAGAGUAGGUCGCUGCCGGGA